rnacentral:pre_miRNA from 1 species
CAUGCACCGGUGGGGUCCCUCGGCCUGGCCUGUGCCCUCUCGCAAUCCGGGACCCCUCAGGGGAUGUCAGAGAGCUGGUUUUGACCUGAUCCCCGCAGACCAGGCCGAGGGACCCCACCGGUGCAUG